UACGGAGGGUGCAAGCGUUAUCCGGAUUCACUGGGUUUAAAGGGUGCGUAGGUGGGUCUGUAAGUCAGUGGUGAAAUCUUCGAGCUUAACUCGGAAACUGCCAUUGAUACUAUAGAUCUUGAAUUUUCUGGAGGUAAGCGGAAUAUGUCAUGUAGCGGUGAAAUGCUUAGAUAUGACAUAGAACACCAAUUGCGAAGGCAGCUUACUACGGGAAACAUUUGACACUGAGGCACGAAAAGCGUGGGGGAUCAAAACAGGG
rnacentral:rRNA from 1 species